rnacentral:rRNA from 1 species
UACUGGUGUUACUGGUUCCUACCUUCUGACGAACCAUCAUGUCAUUAAUUUGGUGUGGCGGGGAAUCAGGACUGUUACUUUGAAAAAAUUAGAGUGUUUAAAGCAGGCUCGCGCUUGAAUACAUUAGCAUGGAAUAAUGAAAUAGGACGUUGACCCUAUUUUGUUGGUUUCUAGGAUUGACGUAAUGAUUAAUAGGGAUAGUUGGGA